rnacentral:rRNA from 1 species
UGGGGAAUAUUGCACAAUGGGCGCAAGCCUGAUGCAGCCAUGCCGCGUGUGUGAAGAAGGCCUUCGGGUUGUAAAGCACUUUCAGCGGGGAGGAAGGCGUUAAGGUUAAUAACCUUGGCGAUUGACGUUACCCGCAGAAGAAGCACCGGCUAACUCCGUGCCAGCAGCCGCGGUAAUACGGAGGGUGCAAGCGUUAAUCGGAAUUACUGGGCGUAAAGCGCACGCAGGCGGUCUGUCAAGUCGGAUGUGAAAUCCCCGGGCUCAACCUGGGAACUGCACUCGAAACUGGCAGGCUAGAGUCUUGUAGAGGGGGGUAGAAUUCCAGGUGUAGCGGUGAAAUGCGUAGAGAUCUGGAGGAAUACCGGUGGCGAAGGCGGCCCCCUGGACAAAGACUGACGCUCAGGUGCGAAAGCGUGGGGAGCAAACAGG